rnacentral:rRNA from 1 species
GACGAACCGAGCGAACGUUAUUCGGAAUCACUGGGCUUAAAGGGCUCGUAGGUGGCCAACUAAGUCAGACGUGAAAUCCCUCGGCUUAACCGGGGAACUGCGUCUGAUACUGGAUGGCUUGAGUUCGGGAGAGGGAUGCGGAAUUCCAGGUGUAGCGGUGAAAUGCGUAGAUAUCUGGAGGAACACCGGUGGCGAAGGCGGCAUCCUGGACCGACACUGACGCUGAGGAGCGAAAGCCAGGGGAGCAAACAGG